rnacentral:rRNA from 1 species
UACGUAGGGUGCGAGCGUUGUCCGGAAUUAUUGGGCGUAAAGAGCUCGUAGGCGGUUCGUCGCGUCGAAUGUGAAAACCCGGGGCUCAACUCCGGGCCUGCAUUCGAUACGGGCGGACUAGAGUUCGGUAGGGGAGACUGGAAUUCCUGGUGUAGCGGUGAAAUGCGCAGAUAUCAGGAGGAACACCGGUGGCGAAGGCGGGUCUCUGGGCAGUAACUGACGCUGAGGAGCGAAAGCGUGGGGAGCGAACAGG